UAAAGGACAGUCAGGGAGCCUCCUGCUCAUUACUGCCAGGGGUAGCAUUGGCUACAAAAAGCUGCACAUCAGGGGAAGCUAGCAUAACUACAGAUCAUCAGGAAGAUGGAACAACCUACACAAAGCAACAUUGUGGAAAAGACAGAGGCAGAAGAACCUGUUGCUAUUGCAGAAGAACCUGUUCAGCAUGAAAACAAAAGAGAUGAGAAGAGGGAGAAGAUAAUUAAGAGAGUGAAAGAAGUGCUCGCUCAGAGGCCAAACAAGGCCAAUAAACCAACUGUGAUCAUCAUUUGCUAUAGAGGCAAGAAGAAUCGAAACCCUGGGCAGCUGGAAAAAAAGGAAGAUACCCCGGACCAUUCUAGCAGUCCACAUAACAAUCAGUGAAUGGCAGCAAUUCCAGACCUCAGCAGCCCUGCACCAUCUCCAGCAGGCUGCAGAGCCCUAUAAGGAACACAUCUGGUCUGGCCAAUAAAGUAAGAACAACAUAUAGCAA